CGUGACUGUCCACUUCCGGUUCUCUGAAACGCGCGACAAGGAAGUGCCAUUGCCUUCUGUUUUGCUGCCGUAAUAGACGAAAACUAUCCCCGGCUCGGAAUUUUUUUGAUACAUGUGAACAUAUCAUCGUAAUGUAUGUUUUUUCAAUAUAGUUUAAUCAGAUUAUUGAAUUUUUUUCGGGAGUUUUGCCGUGUUCCGUCCUCUGACUGUGUUUACGUCGGAGAGAUUUGUGCCACUCGGCUAGUGCCAAUGCUAAGUGAAGAGGGAAAUUUGCCAUUCUGAAUCCAAACAACGACUCAUCUGGACAGAGGACACCUUGUUCAACAUUCUGAUGAAAGAUCAGCAAAAGUAAGAGCCAAUUUAUGAUGUUAUUUCAUAUAUCUGUCGUGCAUGUUGACUGGUCGUGGGCGCCCAAGUUUUUCUGUCUAUUGCUGCUAUGCUAAUAUCACGCUACAUUUUGUUUGCGCUGUAAAACAUUUAAUAAAUCGGAAAUAUUGUCUAGAAUCACAAGAUGCCUGUCUUUCAAUUGCUGUACACUAUGUAUUUUUCAGAAAUGUUUUAUGAUGAGUAAUUAGGUAUUUGACGUUGGUGUCUGUAAAUAUUAUGGCUGCUUUCGGUGCAAUUUCUGAUUGUAGCUGAAAUGUAAACUAUGAAUUAUACCUGAAAUAUGCAAAUCUUUUGAAAAAAACAUAUGCUAUACAAUAAAUAUGUUAUCAGAUUGUUAUCUGAUGAGGUUGUUUCUUGGUUAGUGGCUAUUUUUAUCUUUAUUUGGACGAAUUUGUGAUAGCUACUGAUGGAGUAAAAAACGGAUGGAGUAAGAAAAGUGGUGUCUUUUGCUAACGUGGUUAGCUAAUAGAUUUACAUAUUUUGUCUUCCCUGUAAAAUAUUUUAAAAAUCGGACAUGUUGGCUUGAUUCACAAGAAGUGCAUCUUUCAUCUGGUGUCUUGGACUUGUUAAUGUGUGAAAGUUAAAUAUUAAAAAAAAUAUAUAUUUUGAAUUUCGCGCCCUGCACUUUGAGCUGGAUGUUGUCAUAAGUGUACCGGUGUCGGGCUGCACCCCUAACAGGUUUUAACUUUGUUCUUAUACUGUACGUGUUGUCACUUACCAGUUCACUUUAGAAUGAGGCCUCCAGCCACUCUGUUUUAAUGUUUGGUUGUUUUUAUAUUUUUAUCAAGUUAUUCUGGACACCUUCCCCUCUAAGCCCCUCCUCACUCCUCCUCCCUGACCCCUCAUAAUGUUGGAGGGACUUGUUGCCUGGGUAUUCACAUACCUUAGGAAAAUAUGGCAGCAGCUUAAAUACAGACUAGCUCUCAAUCGCCCUCCUCAAAGGUACCCUGUCUGUUUGGUGACUCAGGGUGUCCACUGUCUGUUUCUACGAUGACAUCAUCAUCGCUCUUACCCUCAUUGAAUUUGACAGCUCUUCAACUUGCCAAACAUGAUAUGCUACCAGAAUCCCUGCAGUAAACAAUAUAGCACGAUAAUUAUAAUAAUGUAUCAUACAUUUGCUGUAGCACUGUAGCUGAAGUCUAGACCCACCCUUGAUCCUUGUCUUCCCAGGAGCGGUGGAACUAGAGAACCUCUCCCCUCUUAAGGAUCGGACCCUUUUUUUCAAUUUUCACCUAAAAUGACAUACCCAAAUCUAACUGCCUGUAGCUCAGGCCCUGAAGCAAGGAUAUGCAUAUUCUUGGUACCAUUUGAAAGGAAACACGUUUAAGUUUGUGGAAAUGUAAAAGGAAUGUAGGAGAAUAUAACACAUUAGAUCUGGUAAAAGAUAAUACAAAGAAAAAAACAACCGCUGUUUGUACCAUCAUCUUUGAAACGCAAGAGAAAGGGCAUAAUGUAUUAUUCCAGCCCAGGUUCAAUUUAGAUUUUGGCCACUAGAUGGCAGCAGAGCAUGUGCAAAGUUUUAGACUGAUCCAAUGAACCAUUGCGUUUCUGUUCAAAAUAUUGUAUCAAGACUGCCCACAUGUGCCUAUGUGCCCAUUUGUUUAUUAAUAACUGUUCAUGUUCAAAGCUGUGCACUCUCCUCAAACAAUAGCAUGGUAUUCUUUCACUGUAAUAGCUAAAUUGGACAGUGCAAUUAGAUUAACAAGAAUUUAAGCUUUCUGCCAAUAUCAGAUAUGUCUAUGUCCUGGGAAAUGUUCUUGUUACUUACAACCUCAUGCUAAUCGCAUUAGCCUACAUCCCGCAGGGGACCCACCGGUUCUGAAGAAGUUUUUAAACAAAGAUGCCCUCCGAGAGUUUGAUCGGCCCUUUUAGGUCAAAGCAGGUAAGUGAUCCAUCAAGGUUACCAUUGAAAAUAUUCACAAGAACUAUACAAAUAAUAAUAAUAUUCAAACUCAAUAUGCAAAACGAGUUGUUAGAAAUUGAGCAAAAGGUUGGCAGGAAAUCUAUAAAAUAAAAAAUAACUCAGCUGUUGUUGUUGUUCAUUUCUGGGCACUCACUACACUUAUCCUGAGUUCUUGCUGAUCAGUCCCGCUUGCGUGACCUUUUGUUUGCUAAAAGAAUGUAAACAAACUAUCAGGAUUUUUUUGUCUGGCAAAGGAAAUAAAUUAUUCAACAUGCCGUUCUUUCAACCAAACCAGUGUUUGGUUUACUCAUGAACUUCUUUGGGACUCGGGGGCAGUAUUGAGUAGCUUGGAUGAAUAAGGUGCCCAGAGUAAACUGCCUGCUACGCAGGCCCAAAAGCUAGAAUAUGCAUAUAAUUAGUAGUUUUAGAUAGAAAACACUCCGACGUUUCCAAAACUGUUUGAAUGAUGUCUGUGAGUAUAGUAGGACUCAUGUGGCAGGCAAAAACCUGACAAAAAAUCCAACCAGGAUGUGGGAAAUCUGAGGUUUGUAGUUUUUCAAGUGAUUGCCUAUCCAAUAUACAGUGUAAAAUGUUGUCCGAUUGCACUUCCUACGGCUUCCACUAGAUGUCAACAGUCUUUAGAACUUUGUUUCAGGCUUCUACUGUGAAGGGGGAGCGAAUAAGAGCUGUUUGAACCAGGGGUCUGGCAGAAAGCCAUUAGUUUAGUCACGCGUGCGGCCGUGAGCACGAGCUCUGUUCCUUUUCAUUUCUAAAGACAAAUGAAUUGUCCAGUUGAAACAUUAUUGAAGAUGUAUGAUAAAAACAUCCUAAAGAUUGAUUAUAUACAUCGUUUGACAUGUUUCUACGAACUGUAAUAUAAUUUUUAUAUUUUUUGACUUUUCGUCUGGACCUAGUGCCUGCGCCUUGUGCAUUUGGAUUACUGGACUAAACGCGUGAACAAAAAGAAGGUUUUGGACAUAAAUGAUGGACUUUAUCGAACAAAACUAACAUUUAUUGUGGAACUGGGAUUCCUGGGAGUGCAUUCUGAUGAAGAUCAUCAAAGGUAAGUGAAUAUUUAUAAUGCUAUUCUGACAUCUGUUGACUCCACAACAUGGCGGAUAUCUUCAUGGCUUGUUUGGGCUCUGAGCGCUGUACUCAGAUUAUAGCAUGGUGUGCUUUUUCCGUAAAGUUUUUUUAAAAUCUGACACAUCGGCUGCAUUAAGGAGAGGCUUAUCUAAAGUUCCAUGUAUAAUACUUGUAUCUUUCAUCAAUGUUUAUUAUGAGUAUUUCUGUAAAUUGAUGUGGCUCUCUGCAAAAUCACCGGAUGUUUUGGAGGCAAAACAUUACUGAACAUAAUGCGCCAAUGUAAGCUGAGAUUUUUGGAUAUAAAUAUGAACUUUAUCGAACAAAACAUACAUGUAUUGUGUAACAUGAAGUCCUAUGAGUGUCAUCUGAUGAUCAUCAAAGGUUAGUGAUUCAUUUUUAGCUCUAUUUCUCCUUUUUGUGACUACUCUCUUUGGCUGGAAAAACAGCUGUGCUUUUCUGUGAAUAGGUGCUGACCUAACAUAAUGAUAUGUGAAAUCGGACACUGUGGUGGGAUUAACAACAAGUUUAUCUUUAAAAUGGUGUAAAAUACUUGUAUGUCUGAGGAAUUUUAAUUCUGAGAUUUCUGUUGUUUUGAAUUUGGCGCCCUGCACUUUCACUGGCUGUUGUCAUACCGAUCCCGUUAACGGGAUCCCAGCUAUAAGAAGUUUUAAAAAACAUAGCUGAUAUGGCUGACUUGCUUUCACAAAUGUGGUUUCUACUGACAGCAGAUAAGAGGCAAUCCGUAAUUUCAAUUAAGACAUUGAUGAGCGAGCUAGGAUGGACGUAGUCAAUAUAACUAUUUGUUCAGCACCUUUGAAAUGUACAGUGGCAGAAUUCAGAACAGUAUUGUCCCUGUACACCAAGUCAGGAAAGUACGAUAAAUAAAGGGGUCAUAUAAGCAGACAAUGAAAGCUCUUACCAUAGUUGAUGAUUACAUUUCUCUAAAAAGGCUAUAGGCUACAUGUGCACCACCAAGUCAGAACAGUAGGUGAAAUUAAGCGCUGAAAAGGGACCCAAUUAUUAGGGUGAGGCACAUGAGCUACCAACAGCUUACUACACACCAUGCACUUAGUAUUACUUUCUUAGGUACAGUAUACUGUAGAUAUCUCACUGGCAUAUUACAUCAUUUAUGCAGCAGCAUACAAUACAUUUUUGGACUCAUCUUGUUGUGCUGUGCUCACUUGAACAGGAAGGUGGCGCGGCGGUCCUUCAUGGGCAAAUUUUGUCAUCAAAGUCUAGCAUUUUCUGGAGUUAUGGUGCUUUCAAGACAAUUGGGAACUCUUGGGAAAAAACAAGGUUGAAUCAUGACGUCAGUGAUCUUCAGGUCAGAGCUCUAGAAAGAGGCCAGAGUUCCCGACAUGCACUCCAAGUUAGAUGACUGUUCAAAGCAUAUUUUCCCAGAUGGGAGCUAUUUUUUUCCCCGAGUUCCCAGUUGUCUUGAACUCAUUGAAAUCAGAUUUCCCAGUUCUGAGUUUCAAGUUGUUUUAAGCGUGGCAGAGGUCCUGCUGGAUUGACAGCAUGGGCAAAGUUGAAUAUUUAAUAUUCAAAGCUUGGAAAAGAGACCCUUAAACACAGACUUGGGACCACACACCCACUCCACUGAAUAGUAAUGUAAAAUAAUUAAUAAAUGCGACCAUAUUAGUCCAGUAGCAGGGAUAUGGACGACCGGUUGGUACGCUAUCAGGACUCACCAGAGAGGGGAAGAAGGUAAACAACCGUUCAAAAGUUUGGGGUCACUUAGAAAUGUCCUUGUUUUUGAAAGAAAAGUACACUUUUUGUCCAUUAAAAGAAUAUAAAAUUGAUCAGAAAUACAGUGUAGACAUUGUUAAUGUUGAAAAGACUAUUAUAGCUGGAAACAGCAGAUUUUUAAUGGAAUAUCUACAUAGGCGUACAGAGGCCCAUUAUCAGCAAUCAUCACUCCUGUGUUCCAAUGGCAUGUUGUGUGAACUGUCUGCACUCUGCAGAUGGUUGUUUUAUGGACUUUCAUGGUUUACAGUCUUUUGUGUGUUUUCUAUCCUGAACCUCUUGAAUCAAUUGCUUGGUUGUUUAUUUAUAUGUUUGUAUGUUUAUUCUGUGUUUCCCUGGCCAUCUACUUAAUCUUAAAGUGAUAGUUCAAAUCCACUGUUUAGGUUGGGCAUAGCAAUUGCACCAGUUCCUUCCCACAGUAUAAUAGGGAAACACUAGCUAAGUUGCUGUGCUUCUUAUUGUUUUGUCAGAUGUGAAAUAAUAAGAGAAAGGUCAUGUCAAUGGGUUUUCCAGAUGUUAGUGUAUGUUCAUUAAGCAGUUAAUUUUUCAUCACUUCGCUAACGUUUCAUCUUGUUCCCAAAGGAUUGCGUAAGGGAGAGCCAGUCACGUACUGGACCAGCAACGAUUAGUGAGGGGGAGGAGAAAAAGGAGCAGUCGGCUGAGAAGCCCAAAACUUCUUCCACCACCUCCUCCUCUGGUUUCUCCCUGGGCAGGCCCCAGGCCCAGCCCACUGCUGGGAGAAUCUCUGGUGUGGAAUCUCUGGUGUUAAUAAUAGUUCUCCCUGUGUUCUGAUGACUUGGGAAUCCCAAGUGAAAGAAAAAUAUGAUAUUUAUUGAUUGACUAGUGCGCUGAGCCAUACGGUACCAGACAUGUCCAUCCACAGCAGCCUGUCCUCGGUGCACUGCUCACUGGACCUGGAGCGCUACUAGCUGAUCUGAGGCCUGCUGGACAACAACCUGGGAGAGCCUAUCGAGGAGUUAAUUUGCUCGUACAACCUACAGGACCCCAGUAACUAUUGUUGAGUGGUGACAUGUACACCAGCCUUUCCAUCCUGGUGGAUAUGAUGAACGUCAGUCUGGAGUUGCUGGGCAGCCCCAAGGCCACUGGACAGAAACCAUACUCACUAGCCAGGUUUGAUUUCAUAAAGUCCAAGCUGCUGUUUGAGAGUUUCUCUAACGGUUCCAAGUCUGUGAAUCUGGUGUCUCACUCCAUCUUGGCAUAUGACACCCAUUACACCUGGCCUGGCAUGGAUGCGGGCAGCAGUGCCAGGGGCAAGCACAAUGUUUUCGACUGCAUCCUGCAGCCAAGACAGGUGUCAAUCGGGCCACCCUCCAGCUAGAGCUGCAUUACAGGUGAACGUGGUACCUUUUGGCGUUUGGAAAUUGCUCCCAAGGAUGAACCAGACUUGUGCAGGUCUACAAUUUUUUUUCUCUGAGGUCUUGGCUGAUUUCUUUUGAUUUUCCCAUGAUUUCAAGUAAAGAGGCACUGAGUUUGAAGGUAAGCCAUCCACAGGUACACCUGUGGACUCAAAUUAUGUCAAUUAGCCUAUCAGAAUUUUCUAAAGCCAUGACAUCAUUUUCUGGAAUUUUCCAAGCUGUUCAAAAAACCAAAGCCUUGUUCCGUUCGACAAAUUCCAAAAAGUAUCCGUAAUGGUCGUAGAAACAUGUCAAAUGUUUUUUAUAAUCAAUCCUCAGGUUGUUUUUAACAAACAUAAUUGAUAAUAUUUCAACCGGACCAUAACCUAUUCAAUAAGAGAGAAAAGCAAACUGGAGAGCUCCCCUCUGGCGCGCAGGCACUAUUCAGAGGACACCUGACUACUUUUAAAAAAUCUCGUUCAUUUUUCUAAUCAAAAGCCUGAAACUAUGUCUAAAGCCUGGUCACAGCCUGAGGAAGCCAUUGGAAAAGGAAUCUGGUUGAUACCCCUUUAAAUGGAAGAAAGACUGGCCAGGAAACACAGAAUUAAAAAAUAAUAUAUCACUUCCGGGUUAUAUUUUCUCAGGUUUUCGCCUGCAAAAUCAGUUUUGUUAUACUCACAGACAAUAUUUUGACAAUUUUGGAAACUUUGGAGUUUUCUAUCAUAAUCUGUAAAUUAUAUGCAUAUUCUACGAUCUUGACCUGAGAAAUAGUCAGUUUACCUUGGGAACGUUCUUAAAAAUAAAAAAAUAUGACCCCUAGCGUCAAGAGGUUAUUAAGGUAGUCUUCUUAUCAACUUUUAUAACUCUAAUAGUCAAUCUGAAUGGAGGUUGAGGUGGAAUAAUAACUGUUGGGUAUCCUAACGCUGAUCAAUUCCUUUAGGAAUUACACAUCACUUUGCAAGCCAGCAUAAUGUGAAUUGCAGGCCUGAUGUGGCCUGUAAACCAGGAGUUUCCUAACAGCAAUGUGUUAGGGUGUAAAACUAGGCCAUCAAAGUAAGGCCUUAUGAUAUAUGUGUUGUCAUAGUUUAAUUUUAAUGAUAGCAUUCACCUAGGUCAGUGGCUCCCAAACUUUUAUAGUCCCGUACCCCUUCAAACAUUCAACCUCCAGCUGCGUACCCCUUCUAGCACCAGGGUCAGUGCACUCUCAAAUGUAUUUUUUUGCCUUCAUUGUAAGCCUGCCACACACACUAUACGAUACAUUUAAUAAACAUAAGAAUGAGUGUGAGUUUUUGUCACAACCCGGCUCGUGGGGAGUGACAAAGAGCUCUUAUAGGACCAGGGCACAAAUAAUAAUAUAAUAAUAAUCAAUAAUUUUACAUAUACAACUUUAUCUGUUCAUUUUUAAAUUGUGAAUAACUCACCACAGGUUAAUGAGAAGGGUGUUUGAAAGGAUGCACAUACCUCUGCAAUGUUGGGUUGUAUUGGAGAGAGUCUCAGUCUUAAAUCAUUUUCCACACAGAGUCUCUGCCUGUGUUUAGUUUUCAUGCUAGUGAGGGCCGAGAAUCCACUCUAACAUAGGUACGUGGUUGCAAAGGGCAUCAGUGUCUUAACAGUGCGAUUUGCCAAGGCAGGAUACUCUGAGCAUAGCCCAAUCCAGAAAUCUGGCUGUGGCUUCUGAUUAAAGAAAAUUUCCACAACCGCUUGUUGCAAUUUCGAUGAGUCUCUCUUGUUCAGAUAUCGGUAAGUGGACUGGAGGUAGGACAUGAAAGGGAUAACAAAUCUAGUUGUAUGUGUCAUCUGUUUUGGAAAAGUACCUGCGUAAUUGCGCACCCAACUCGCUCAGGUGCUUCGCUAUAUCACAUUUGACAUUGUCCUUAAGCUUGAGUUCAUAUGCACACAAAAUUCAUACAAUGAUGGAAAUACCUGUGUAUUGACCUUGUUAAUGCAGACAGAGAAGAGCUCCAACUGCUUAAUCAUAGCCUCAAUUUGACUGAAAGUAGUGUACAUUUAACACUUUCAGAGUUAAAUAUACACCAUUGAUUUUGCUGUGUGCUUAGAGGAUGUAUAGUCCUAGGCCUAUGUUGUUGUAUACUGUAGGUGAAGUUGUGGGCCAAUUUGCAUAUAUUCUUAUGUGGAACUGCAUAAAAAUCUUUUUUAUUUUUGCUUCAAACCAUUUAGAAAUGUUGAUCCCAAUGUCACAUAUUGGCCCCAUUAUUUAUAGAGUACCAGUCAAAAGUUUGGCUACACCUACUCAUUCAAGGGUUUUUCUUUAUUUUUAUUAUUUUCUACAUUGUAAAAUAAUAGUGAAGACAUCAAAACUAUGAAAAAACACAUAUGGUAUCAUGUAGUAACCAAAAAAGUGUUAGACAAAUCAAAAUAUAUUUUUUACUUAAGAUUCUUCAAAGUAGCCACCCUUUGCCUUGAUGACAGCUUUGCACUCUAAAAUGGCACCCUUUUCCCUUUUAGCCAGGGCUUUGGGCUGUAAUGAUGGGCUCUGGCCAAAAGUAGUGAACUACAUAAGGAAUAAGGUGCCAUUUUAGACAUUACUCUUUAGGCUUCAUGUAGACACAGACCCAUAUUUACUAAUCAUUCGCUUCUCCUCCCUCCUUCUUUCUCUCCUGUCAGGUCAACUAGGGACUCUUCCUGUUUCACGGUUGUCUCAACAACCUGUGUGUGUUUCUCAUCUUUGAUUGGCUCCAGUUGGUUCGGGACUUCCUACGCAUGCCCUUGAGAAGGGGUGGGUGGUCCACCUCGCCAGCGCUGGCCCAGCGGCAGCAGUAACCCAGGCACCACGGGUGCUGUCAUGCACUAGACAGUCAAGGGCGGCGUGUUCACCAAGAGGUCCACUGUGCCUGUCAUGCAGGAUCGGUACCCGGAGGUCAAGAUCAACGUGACGGGCACUGAGUUUGUGGUGGUGAAGGAUUCGGCUUGUCUGGACACCAAUGCCAUCAUUCUGAAGGGCACCACUGUACUCACCUACAAACCCCGUCUGCUUGACAGACCGUUCUCUGGCAGCCUGGCCGGCAUCGAGUGUUUUUCCUGUCGGCUCGGCAGCGAGCAGCAGACAGCCUUGUCCAUCAUCGACCCAGUCAACAUGCAGGUGGAGCUGUGUGGCAGUCCCACCUACCAGAGCAGCUUUGGCCUUCUAGAUGUCUUCAACAUGGCGGACUUCCCAUCACUACUGGAGGUCAGGGUUCCGUCAAUGGUGGGGAUUGCAGAAAGGCCAUAUAAAGCACCUGUUCAUUUUCUGUUUCGACACAUUUUGUCCCAUUUCAUGCCUACUGAACUGAACAUCACAGGAAAGCCAAAAAGAUGAUCAAAGACAACAACCACCCGAGCCACUGCCUGUUCACCCCGCUAUCAUCAAGAAGGAGAGAUCUAGUUCCCUGCUUUGGACAUCUGGCUUUCUUACAACAACGUUCAGCUCUUCCUGUCUAUCGCCAAAUCCAUCCCCACCACCGGUUCUCCCGGGCCCAGCAACACUGCCGAUGACACCCUGGUAGCACCAUCCACAGCCAGCCCCAACCCCUCCACCUCUGAGAAAGACACCUUCAGGCACAAGACAGAGGCCCUGCUAGGUAUAUCACCUCAGAGGCCUACAGGGGUGUCGUAAAGUUAUAUGGUGAAUAGUGUUCCAUGAUGCCCCCCCCACACACACACACAAACAGAUUGGCUUUUCCUACUAGCACUGACUUUGCUGAUAACUACACUGAGCAAAUAUAAACACAAAUAUAACCACAAUUUCAUGAGCUGAAAUAAAAGUUUCUAGAAAUUGUCCAUACACACAACUUAUUUCUAUCAAAUUGUAUACACAAAUUUGUUUACAUCCCUGUUAGUGAGCAUGUAUCCUUUGCCAAGAUAAUCCAUCCACCUGAGAGGUGUAGCAUAUUAAAAAGCUGAUUAAAGAGCAUGAUCAUUACACAGGUACACCUUGUGUUGGGGACAAUAAAAGGCCACUCUAAAAUGUGCAGUUUUGUCAUAUAACAUAAUGCCACAGAUGUUUCAAGUUUUGAGGGAGCGGGAAAUUGGCAUGCUGACUGCAGGAAUCUCCACCAGAGCUGUUGCCAGGGAAUUGAAUGUUCAUUUCUCUACCAUAAUCCGUCUCCAAUGUUGUUUUAGAGAACUUGGCAGUACGUCCAAUCGACCUCACAACCGCAGACCCUGUGUAUGAUGAUGUCGUGUGGGCAAGCGGUUUGCUGAUAUCAACAGUGUGAACAGAGUGCCCUAUGGUGGCAGUGGGGUUAUGGUAUGGCAUUUUAUCGACGGCAAUUUGAAUGCACAGAGAUACCGUGACAAGAUCCUGAGACCCAUUCUCGUGCCAUUCAUCCGCCGCCAUCACCUCAUGUUUCAGCAUGAUAAUGCCACAGGCCACAAUCAACAGCCUGAUCAACUCUAUGCGAAGGAGAUAUGUCAUACUGCAUGUGGCAAAUGGUGGUCACACCAGAUACUGACUGGUUUUCUGAUCCACGCCCCUACAGAGGGUCAGCUGACUCGGUUACAGGAUCUAGGCUUCAGGAAGCAGGAUUGCCAAUGAGCCCUGAUCCACUGCAAAGGGCUCUAUGUGCUGCAACGAAUCGGCUCGACCCAGGAGGGCAACAACAGCUUCACUUUGUCAGGGGACUACUACAACAGAGAACUGUCAGGUUGGGAGCCCUUCAUCGAGCCCUGUAUCAGUCUGCAGGGUGCCUCCAGGCAUUGCGCCUCAAGAUGGGCAUCCACGCCAAGCAGACUGGAUGUCAACAUCACCUCUGUCCUUUUGGGUAUGACCUGCACUGCCCAAUAUUUGGACACAGUGGAUGCUUCUGACACGGCAGCCUAUUCCCUAUGUCUCUUGACCCGGGUCAAAAGUAGUGCACUAUGUCGUGAAUUGGCACACCUUGUUUAACUACAGUGGGUUAGCCCCGGAUAUAUGUAAGCCAUGUAUGUGUGAUCUGUAGUGGUGAACUUUGAAUGGAUUUGAGCACAGAUGAACCAUUAUAUUGACCAGAUAUUCUAGUGGCCCCUCUAAUAAUGAAAAUAAAUGUCUUACAAAAUGGAAGGCAGUCGGGAUGAGGCAAGAUCAGGUGGGAUCAUUCUAGCCAAUGAGAGGGCAGAUUUGCGUGUGAACUGCUGGCACAACGGUUUCGUCUAGUUACCACAGCCACAAAGUCAAAAUUGGUUAUAUCCCAAAAAUUCAUGAAAACUAAAAUGAGCUUUUUGGUUGUAAUUUAAGGUUAGUCAUAAGAUUAGCAGUGUGGUUGAUGUAGACUUUGUAGCUGUGGUAACUAGUGACGACCAGUCACAACUCCGAUAUAAAUAGUUUUUUCUCAAAGUUGCCGGUAUGUCACAUGGCCUACUUAUAUCACUGGUAACAACCUAAUCAUUACGUAACUUCUAUUCGAUCAAAUAAGCCACACGUAGCAAAUAAGCCACUGCAUAAGCCGCACCAAAAAAACUAAAAAGCUCCACUUGCUGGAGAAGAUUUUGGCCCAGUCAUGGCUUUCACUUUGCUUCUUCCGCUCUGAUUUUGAGUUUCCUCCUCACCUUGCUACUGCCCUCUUCUGGCUACACAGAGCAGUACAGCCUCACCACGAGCAUAUUAGCUGGCUGACUACUGCAAGAAAGAGGAGCAGACUCCCCAACCCUCGACAGCCCUAUCCUGGAUGGGCUCCUCGGUGGACCCCCCCCCCAGUGGGUACUGUUUCCCCCAAGUUUACACACACACGCAUCACUUGUUAUGAACUGAAAAUAGCCUUAGUAGAAAAAAGUAGAGCCCUCAUACUCAAUUGCUCCAGCACAUUACUGUAUUAGUUAGCGGGUAGUUACAAAAGUCUGAUUUAAUAUACGUUUGUUCUGGAGUAUAUGAUUGCGUGGUUCCCACUUGAUUUUAUGCUAACGUUUCGAUAGUGCCAGCAUUUCUUUGUAUUUCUAUUUGUAUCACAUCAUUUUGUGUUGAUUUUGGUGAUUGUUUUUUUGCAGUGCAACAAAGCUUUAUACAGAUGCAUUGGAAACCUGCCUGAAUUAUCGCCGCCUUCGCAUGGUUAUUGCACAUUUGGAUUGUUUGACGAAAAUGAAAAUGUUGAUUCAAGUGUUGGGAAUGACUGUCUAUUUACACAGCUCCUUUGCCUUGUCAAAAUGGUGUAUUAAGAGUUAAGACCGGCUCUCAUGUUUUUGUUCAAUCAUUUUGGUAACUUCUUACUUUACGGUCCUAGGCCUAUAUAGGUCUAUCGUGUCUAAAUUAUGCUAUCAGCUAACAGCUACGACAUUUGUUAUGGCCUUAUUAUGGCAGUGUAGGCCUUAUGGUGGAGGGCUUCAAGUCAAAGUAAGAUUGCUGUUAAGAUGUUAUUUAGCUUAGAUCCGGGUCUUUUGAUUGGUAGUAUGACCACAUAAUAUAAAAUAAAACACACUUGUCAUGGUUGGUAUUAAAACAUGUUUUUUUAGUACACCCUGACCUUUGCCCUCUCUUCUGACCCCUAGCACGUCUCUCCUCUCUGUGGUAACUGUCUCUCUCUGCUGUCAGGUGUCCCUCUUGCCUACCAGUCAGUUUGACUUGCCUUGAGCAGCACAUUGACUCCAGAGGUACAGUCCAUAGAUCACAGAGUGCAGCGGUUGGCCUCCACCAUAGAAAUAGAAUUACUAGAAUGGUAAUCUCUAAGUAGAAUGGGUGGACCGGUGGCCAGGAAGUAGUCGUGUUAUAUUUCUAUGGCAUCCACACCAUGGGUUUUCCCAUCUCAAUGCUUUUCCUUUAUCAUGUGUAUCAUCGCUAUCCUUACUUAAGUACAGCGUUAAUGCAACAUUAUUACAGAGUGUUUUGUGUAACACUAGUGUUUCACGAUCUUGUGACAAUAUUGGCAAAUUUGAUCCAUUGUUAAACUGAAGUCAGUAUAAUCAGCAUCCACAGAGACAGUCUUUUAUUGACUCCCCCCCCCCCCCCCCUAGUUAGAACAGAGCCAUUGUGUCUGGUGGUGCCGGAGUCGUGUUAGAAAGUUAGAUUAUCUGUUUAUUCUCAGACUUUCCUUUCUCCCUUUUUUUACUCUGUUUGUGUCAUGUUGUUUCACCUCCCCCAUUCAAUGUCAAUCUAUAUAAAUCCAUUGUGAUUAUCAUUGUUCACUAUCAUUAUUUACCUGGUUU